rnacentral:rRNA from 1 species
GCACAAGCAGUGGAGUAUGUGGUUUAAUUCGAAGCAACGCGAAGAACCUUACCUGGUCUUGACAUCCCGGUGAUCGUCCUAAAGAUAGGGCUUUCCCUUCGGGGACAACGGUGACAGGUGGUGCAUGGUUGUCGUCAGCUCGUGUCGUGAGAUGUUGGGUUAAGUCCCGCAACGAGCGCAACCCUUUUGUUAGUUGAUACAUUUAGUUGAUCACUCUAGCGAGACUGCCGUUGACAAAACGGAGGAAG